GGACAAGGGCAAAGCCGGCGGCCUAACCCCCACUGGACUCUCCAGAGCUUCCAGCUUCCGGCUUUAGCAGGUGUUUGGCACCAGACGGGCCUUGCACCAUGAGGGGCAAGGCCAAGAUCGCUGAUACCCAAGUGGACAGGGCUGGCACCUCCGGGUCUUCAGGCUCCUUGGUGACUGUCCCCGCAUGUCUAUACACAAGAUAUGCCUUUCCCACAGGGGUCACAGAAGGGUGGACACCUCAAAACCGGGAAGUCUCUAAGCCCAACAUGUGACUCAAACUCAUGACCCCGAGAUCAAGAUUCACAUUCUCCAUGGACUGAGCCAGCAAGGCACCUCCGACCAAGUUGUUCUUAGAAAUAUUACAUUCUCUCCUACUCUAUGUCCCCUGUCAAUAAAUUUCUACUACUUCCUGAUGUAUUCUGAGUUGAGUUCAGUC
rnacentral:lncRNA from 1 species